CUAGAAACAUGUCUGAUAAAAGAGUUACUUUGAUAGAGUAAAUAAUAGAGGCCCCACCCUCUUGUUUC
rnacentral:tRNA from 1 species